GACGAACGCUGGCGGCGUGCCUAAUACAUGCAAGUAGAACGCACAGUUUAUACCGUAGCUUGCUACACCAUAGACUGUGAGUUGCGAACGGGUGAGUAACGCGUAGGUAACCUGCCUGGUAGCGGGGGAUAACUAUUGGAAACGAUAGCUAAUACCGCAUAAUAUUAAUUAUUGCAUGAUAAUUAAUUGAAAGGUGCAAUUGCACCACUACCAGAUGGACCUGCGUUGUAUUAGCUAGUAGGUGAGGUAACGGCUCACCUAGGCGACGAUACAUAGCCGACCUGAGAGGGUGAUCGGCCACACUGGGACUGAGACACGGCCCAGACUCCUACGGGAGGCAGCAGUAGGGAAUCUUCGGCAAUGGACGAAAGUCUGACCGAGCAACGCCGCGUGAGGGAAGAAGGUUGUCGGAUCGUAAAGCUCUGUUGUAAGAGAAGAACGGGUGUGAGAGUGGAAAGUUCACACUGUGACGGUAUCUUACCAGAAAGGGACGGCUAACUACGUG
rnacentral:rRNA from 1 species